AACUGGAGGCUCUUUGGCUGUGCAGUGGUGCUGGAGCCUCGUUUACCAUCUCCUUUAAAACGUACAUCUCUCUCUGACUCCAAAAUCUUUCCUACAGAAUUGCAAGCCCAGGCUAUGAGCUGGGAUUUAUACAGUUGUUUCUGGAAUUGGUUCUGAAAGCACGCUACAAUAAAAACUCGAUUGCAGGACUGCAGCUACUUGUCCUGAAGGAAAUGAAGGCGUCUUCCAUUUCAGAAAAGGUGGUUAACCUGAAGAAUAAAGGUGACCUCUCUGUGUGUGAGUGGGGCAUCCCCCAAAGAGGCUGAAGCGCUGCUGCCCUCCUGCUGCAGAACUCCUCCUCCUCACCCACCUUCCAGCCAGGCUCACAGCUGAGUGCUUGACUGCUUCGUGCCUUGGUGGAGCAUUUUCCUGGGCUGUAUUUCCUCCGGUGUUGCUCACAGCGCAGGUAGAAGCCUCCAUCCAUCUCCCUCUCCUCAGCAUACGACGGCUGAUCAUUGCUGUGCAUCUGUCUUUGGCAGCGGGAAGAGGGAUAGCA
rnacentral:lncRNA from 1 species